UACGGAGGGUGCAAGCGUUGUCCGGAAUCACUGGGCGUAAAGGGCGCGUAGGCGGCCUGGUAAGUAGGGGGGUGAAAUCCUGCGGCUUAACCGCAGGGCUGCCUUCUAAACUGUCAGGCUUGAGCACGGUAGAGGCAGAUGGAAUUCCCGGUGUAGCGGUGGAAUGCGUAGAGAUCGGGAAGAACAUCAGUGGCGAAGGCGGUCUGCUGGGCUAUGGCUGACACUGAGGCGCGACAGCGUGGGGAGCAAACAGG
rnacentral:rRNA from 1 species